GACGAACGCUGGCGGCAUGCCUAAUACAUGCAAGUAGAACGCUGAAGAGAGGAGCUUGCUCUUCUUGGAUGAGUUGCGAACGGGUGAGUAACGCGUAGGUAACCUGCCUUGUAGCGGGGGAUAACUAUUGGAAACGAUAGCUAAUACCGCAUAACAAUGGAUGACACAUGUCAUUUAUUUGAAAGGGGCAAUUGCUCCACUACAAGAUGGACCUGCGUUGUAUUAGCUAGUAGGUGAGGUAACGGCUCACCUAGGCGACGAUACAUAGCCGACCUGAGAGGGUGAUCGGCCACACUGGGACUGAGACACGGCCCAGACUCCUACGGGAGGCAGCAGUAGGGAAUCUUCGGCAAUGGGGGCAACCCUGACCGAGCAACGCCGCGUGAGUGAAGAAGGUUUUCGGAUCGUAAAGCUCUGUUGUAAGUCAAGAACGAGUGUGAGAGUGGAAAAUUCACACUGUGACGGUAGCUUACCAGAAAGGGACGGCUAACUACGUGCCAGCAGCCGCGGUAAUACGUAGGUCCCGAGCGUUGUCCGGAUUUAUUGGGCGUAAAGCGAGCGCAGGCGGUUUGAUAAGUCUGAAGUUAAAGGCUGUGGCUCAACCAUAGUUCGCUUUGGAAACUGUCAAACUUGAGUGCAGAAGGGGAGAGUGGAAUUCCAUGUGUAGCGGUGAAAUGCGUAGAUAUAUGGAGGAACACCGGUGGCGAAAGCGGCUCUCUGGUCUGUAACUGACGCUGAGGCUCGAAAGCGUGGGGAGCGAACAGGAUUAGAUACCCUGGUAGUCCACGCCGUAAACGAUGAGUGCUAGGUGUUGGAUCCUUUCCGGGAUUCAGUGCCGCAGCUAACGCAUUAAGCACUCCGCCUGGGGAGUACGACCGCAAGGUUGAAACUCAAAGGAAUUGACGGGGGCCCGCACAAGCGGUGGAGCAUGUGGUUUAAUUCGAAGCAACGCGAAGAACCUUACCAGGUCUUGACAUCCCGAUGCUAUUUCUAGAGAUAGAAAGUUACUUCGGUACAUCGGUGACAGGUGGUGCAUGGUUGUCGUCAGCUCGUGCCGUGAGAUGUUGGGUUAAGUCCCGCAACGAGCGCAACCCCUAUUGUUAGUUGCCAUCAUUCAGUUGGGCACUCUAGCGAGACUGCCGGUAAUAAACCGGAGGAAGGUGGGGAUGACGUCAAAUCAUCAUGCCCCUUAUGACCUGGGCUACACACGUGCUACAAUGGUUGGUACAACGAGUUGCGAGUCGGUGACGGCAAGCUAAUCUCUUAAAGCCAAUCUCAGUUCGGAUUGUAGGCUGCAACUCGCCUACAUGAAGUCGGAAUCGCUAGUAAUCGCGGAUCAGCACGCCGCGGUGAAUACGUUCCCGGGCCU
rnacentral:rRNA from 1 species